UGUUAAAAGGCUAAACCGAGCAUUUCAAAAGACUAUGCACAAUAUCGAUUUAAUGACCUAAAUACUGGUUUUCAGAAAACAUAUACUAUCAUACAGUUAUGUAAACUAAAUUAUAACCGGAUAAUAAAACACGUAAUCUAUCAGGAAGUCACGACUGAUGAAGAUUGUACAGCAGAAUAAAAAUGAUUGAUCAUUUGGGAUUAUCUCUUGUCCUUGAAAUAUAUUUAAACAAGUGCAGAGAUAUUUUUGCCAGAGCUUUUGUUCUUUUGCAUGAAUGUUCAGAAAGACGAUAUAUAUAUAUAUAUAUAUAUAUAUAUAUAUGAAAAAAGAAAAAUUUGAGAUAUUCAGCGAAAAUUCUAUGUAAAUCAGAACUACGGAGUAUGUGCUCAUGAUCAAGGGUGGAUGCACGUCCUUGAUAAAAGAAAGAUGCUGUCCAUAUGAAUGCAUUGGCUCGAUUUCUAUGUUCCUUUAUACAAAACACUUCACAGAUAGAAACUGGACAUGGAGAAAGUACUAAGGGAGUCAUAAAGGAUCUCGACAUUAAUACAUUGUUUGCGAACGUUGUGCACUUAGUAUACGUUAAUAUUUAUGAUUUUCCCGAUUAUUGUCAAUUUAGGAAGAUUAUAAAGGUUGCAGUAACCUAUCUUCGGAUAGUUGAGAACCCGAACUGAUAUGGUAUAGGAAAUAUAAUAUUUAAAUAACCUUUAUCUUACUGAUAUAUGAACAGGAAGAUACUGGACCAACUAGGGGAUUGAUCGCUUGAUAAUUGGUUGUUUUUCGUCCAGCAGCAACAAAUUUCUGGAAGGGCUUACAAAUAAACGCCUUCUUUUACUGUUUUUUUUUUGUUAACGCACUAACUAGAAAUGUCUUAAUUUACAAAGUAUUCGUGAAAUGAUUUUUGCUAUUUAAUGGUUUUUAAUCAGUGUGAAAACUCAUCAAAGAUACAUGGCGUACAUGUUUUUACUCAAGACGCGCGGUUCGUCUACACAAGACUCUACAGUUGCACCCGAAUGAGAAUAAUUUGAAGGCAAAGUCAAACGCAAAGUUGAAUUGCAUUUAAAACCAAAAAAACAACGAAAAAGAGUUUCUAAAUACGACAAAGGCACUCGGGGGAUUGAAAACCUUAGUACAUUUCUGUUAUUCGAAUUAUGUUAAACUUUAUAAACAGAUAAUUUACAGAAAAUGAACAUUUCAAUGAUAAGUUGUCAACUCCAAAUUCCUGACUAUUGGGCUGGUGAUAAAACCCAUCAAAGAUAUCAGGCGUACAAUUACUAUUUUGUAGGCACAUCCUUUUCGUGUUUUUAAUUUAUCUAAAUUUGGUUAUGUUAAGGGAUACUAUAUUAAAUAAAAUGAACGAGAUAAUUUAUGUAAAAAAAAUGUGUUGUAGACAUGGCACAGCCAGCGGAUAUGAUGGUUAUUUCAGUCCGUGCAGACUUAUCAAGAACUGAUUAAUAAGGACAACGUUUUGUUUUAAAAGAGUAUGGCAACUGACCUGACAUCACACGAUAUAUGGAACAUUAUGCUUUUCUUAAAUUAGAUAUCAAUAAUUCAAUUAGUUUUUAUUGUAAAAAUAUUUUUAUAGACCGGUUAAAGUACCGGAUCUGGCUCCUUUUAAGAUAAAUCUGAUUUUACCUGAAUUAUGAUAGUGUUAACAAUUUUCCAAUUAAAAACUUGCUACACACUAUGUGUGUUUAGUUUCAAUGUAUUUAAAUGUAACUUAUGUGAUCAAGCCCAUGUAACUUCAUUUUGUCUGGUUCGAAAGAAUAAAAAAAGCAUGAAAUACGAAUGGAUGAUACAAAAACUUACCCAAGGAAAAACAACAAAUAAUUGGCAAGAGAACAGAAAAAAAAAGGAAAUAAAUGAUAGCUCACAAAAAAAUAUACAGAAAAUAUAAAAAAGGGUUAUAGGUUUCAUAAUGGGUAAAAAUGUAAAAUGAACUGAAUAUCAGGUUGUCUGCAUAUUGAUAUUAUAAAAGAUCAGCUGCGAGAUACAAUUUGAUCCUUUAUGUCGAGUGAGCAGCAAAUUUUUACAAUAUCAAUAUGAAGUCAACCAGAUAACCGAAUUAUCGGUUUGUAUUUGUAGAUUUUGCAUGAUAAAAUAAGUGUUUUCUUUGUUUCAUCUGCAAACCGGAAGGUAACUUGAUAAGUUCUGGGCAAACUUACUACUUCUGUGCAUUCCUUAUAGCGUCGGUGAUAUGUUCGGGUCAAAUUAAUCAGGCCGGGUCAACGUACUUCACGCCACAAAGCCGUGAUAGCAAUUUUGUUCAUAGCUGCGUAGAGUGAUGCGGACAUUGGACGAUCGAUCAAGCUUUCUAUCAGCCAGAGUUAUUACAUUUCAUUUCAAUAAUACACGAGCCUUUAGAAGGUUUAUUGUUGUUAUUUAAAGUAAAUAAAGAAAUGUUAUUUA